CUACGGGAUGCACCAGUCGAGAAGCUUCGGCAAUGGGCGAAAGCCUGACCGAGCGAUGCCGCGUGAGCGAAGAAGGCCCUAUGGGUUGUAAAGCUCUGUCAGAUUGGGAAGAAAGCUUCGGGGUUAAUACCCCCGAAGUGUGACGGUACCAUCAGAGGAAGCACCGGCUAACUCCGUGCCAGCAGCCGCGGUAAUACGGAGGGUGCAAGCGUUGUUCGGAUUCACUGGGUAUAAAGGGUGCGCAGGCGGCCUGGUAAGUCAGGGGUGAAAUAUGACGGCUCAACCGUCAAACUGCCUCUGAAACCGCCAGGCUUGAGUCCGGGAGAGGAAGGUGGAAUUCCUGGUGUAGCGGUGAAAUGCGUAAAUAUCAGGAGGAACACCGGUGGCGAAGGCGGCCUUCUGGCCCGGAACUGACGCUCAUGCACGAAAGCCAGGGGAGCGAACGGGAUUAGAUACCCGAGUAGUC
rnacentral:rRNA from 1 species